CCUACGGGGGGCAGCAGUGGGGAAUAUUGGUCAAUGGGGGGAACCCUGAUCCAGCCAUGCCGCGUGUGUGAAGAAGGCCCUCGGGUUGUAAAGCACUUUCAGUGAGGAAGAACGCCUGGUGGUUAAUACCCAUCAGGAAAGACAUCACUCACAGAAGAAGCACCGGCUAACUCCGUGCCAGCAGCCGCGGUAAUACGGAGGGUGCGAGCGUUAAUCGGAAUUACUGGGCGUAAAGCGCGCGUAGGUGGCUUGAUAAGCCGGUUGUGAAAGCCCCGGGCUCAACCUGGGAACGGCAUCCGGAACUGUCAAGCUAGAGUGCAGGAGAGGAAGGUAGAAUUCCCGGUGUAGCGGUGAAAUGCGUAGAGAUCGGGAGGAAUACCAGUGGCGAAGGCGGCCUUCUGGACUGACACUGACACUGAGGUGCGAAAGCGUGGGUAGCAAACAGGAUUAGAUACCCGAGUAGUC
rnacentral:rRNA from 1 species